rnacentral:rRNA from 1 species
UACGUAGGCAGCGAGCGUUGUUCGGAAUUACUGGGCGUAAAGAGUGUGUAGGCGGUGCUCUAAGUUCGGUGUGAAAUCUCCCGCUUAACUGGGAGGUGCGCCGGAAACUGGAGUGCUCGAGCGUGGGAGAGGAAAGCGGAAUUCCUGGUGUAGCGGUGAAAUGCGUAGAUAUCAGGAGGAACACCUGCGGUGUAGACGGCUUUCUGGACCAUUGCUGACGCUGAGACACGAAAGCGUGGGUAGCAAACAGG